GAUGAAGAACGUAGUGAAAUGCGAUAACUAGUGUGAAUUGCAGAAUUCCGUGAAUCAUCGAGUCUUUGAACGCACAUUGCGCCCCCUGGUAUUCCGGGGGGCAUGCCUGUCCGAGCCUCAUUGCUGCCCAUCAAGCACGGCUUGUGUGUUGGGUCGUCGUCCCCUCUCCGGGGGGGACGGGCCCCAAAGGCAGCGGCGGCACCGCGUCCGAUCCUCGAGCGUAUGGGGCUUUGUCACCCGCUCUGUAGGCCCGGCCGGCGCUUGCCGAACGCAAAUCAAUCUUUUUCCAGGUUGACCUCGGAUCAGGUAGGGAUACCCGCUGAACUUAAGCAUAUCAAUAAGCGGAGGA
rnacentral:misc_RNA from 1 species